ensembl:snoRNA
UUGCCCUCUUAAGUCUGCCAGUGUCUUAAGUGGCCAGUACGGAGGGGUAUAACAGCUCUCUCUCAAACCCAGAGGUGAGGCUGAAACUCUUCUUUGGAUCACGCUGAGAGGAACACAG